GGUCUCCGAGUAACUCCAACCCCUGUGACAUACCUAUACGUUGCCUCGGCGGAUCAGCCCGCGCCCCGUAAAACGGGACGGCCCGCCCGAGGACCCUAAACUCUGUUUUUAGUGGAACUUCUGAGUAAAACAAACAAAUAAAUCAAAACUUUCAACAACGGAUCUCUUGGUUCUGGCAUCGAUGAAGAACGCAGCAAAAUGCGAUAAGUAAUGUGAAUUGCAGAAUUCAGUGAAUCAUCGAAUCUUUGAACGCACAUUGCGCCCGCCAGUAUUCUGGCGGGCAUGCCUGUUCGAGCGUCAUUUCAACCCUCAAGCUCAGCUUGGUGUUGGGACUCGCGGUAACCCGCGUUCCCCAAAUCGAUUGGCGGUCACGUCGAGCUUCCAUAGCGUAGUAAUCAUACACCUCGUUACUGGUAAUCGUCGCGGCCACGCCGUAAAACCCCAACUUCUGAAUGUUGACCUCGGAUCAGGUAGGAAUACCCGCUGAACUUAAGCAUAUCAAUAAGCCGGAGGA
rnacentral:rRNA from 1 species